rnacentral:rRNA from 1 species
CAGUCGCCGCGGGAAUACGUAGGUGGCGAGCGUUGUCCGGAAUUAUUGGGCGUAAAGGGAGCGCAGGCGGACAUAUAAGUCCAUCUUAAAAGUGCGGGGCUCAACCCCGUGAGGGGAUGGAAACUGUAUGCCUUGAGUGCAGGAGAGGAAAGCGGAAUUCCCAGUGUAGCGGUGAAAUGCGUAGAUAUUAGGAAGAACACCAGUGGCGAAGGCGACUUUCUGGACGAAAACUGACGCUGAGGCGCGAAAGCCAGGGGAGCGAACGGGAUUAGAUACCCCAGUAGUCCCUGUCUCUUAUACC